rnacentral:rRNA from 1 species
GGGUUGUGAGGUUAAGCGACUAAGCGUACACGGUGGAUGCCCUGGCAGUCAGAGGCGAUGAAGGACGUGCUAAUCUGCGAAAAGCGUCGGUAAGGUGAUAUGAACCGUUAUAACCGGCGAUGUCCGAAUGGGGAAACCCAGUGCAAUUCGUUGCACUAUCGUUAACUGAAUACAUAGGUUAACGAGGCGAACCGGGGGAACUGAAACAUCUAAGUACCCCGAGGAAAAGAAAUCAACCGAGAUUCCCCCAGUAGCGGCGAGCGAACGGGGAGCAGCCCAGAGUCUGAAUCAGCUUGUGUGUUAGUGGAACGGUCUGGAAAGUCCGACGGUACAGGGUGAUAGUCCCGUACACCAAAAUGCACAGGCUGUGAACUCGAAGAGUAGGGCGGGACACGUGGUAUCCUGUCUGAAUAUGGGGGGACCAUCCUCCAAGGCUAAAUACUCCUGACUGACCGAUAGUGAACCAGUACCGUGAGGGAAAGGCGAAAAGAACCCCGGCGAGGGGAGUGAAAAAGAACCUGAAACCGUGUACGUACAAGCAGUGGGAGCACCUUCGGGUGUGACUGCGUACCUUUUGUAUAAUGGGUCAGCGACUUAUAUUCUGUAGCAAGGUUAACCGUAUAGGGGAGCCGCAGGGAAACCGAGUCUUAACUGGGCGUUAAGUUGCAGGGUAUAGACCCGAAACCCGGUGAUCUAGCCAUGGGCAGGUUGAAGGUUGGGUAACACUAACUGGAGGACCGAACCGACUAAUGUUGAAAAAUUAGCGGAUGACUUGUGGCUGGGGGUGAAAGGCCAAUCAAACCGGGAGAUAGCUGGUUCUCCCCGAAAGCUAUUUAGGUAGCGCCUCGUGAAUUCAUCUUCGGGGGUAGAGCACUGUUUCGGCUAGGGGGUCAUCCCGACUUACCAACCCGAUGCAAACUACGAAUACCGAAGAAUGUUAUCACGGGAGACACACGGCGGGUGCUAACGUCCGUCGUGAAGAGGGAAACAACCCAGACCGCCAGCUAAGGUCCCAAAGUCAUGGUUAAGUGGGAAACGAUGUGGGAAGGCACAGACAGCCAGGAUGUUGGCUUAGAAGCAGCCAUCAUUUAAAGAAAGCGUAAUAGCUCACUGGUCGAGUCGGCCUGCGCGGAAGAUGUAACGGGGCUAAACCAUGCACCGAAGCUGCGGCAGCGACACUAUGUGUUGUUGGGUAGGGGAGCGUUCUGUAAGCCUGCGAAGGUGACCUGUGAGGGUUGCUGGAGGUAUCAGAAGUGCGAAUGCUGACAUAAGUAACGAUAAAGCGGGUGAAAAGCCCGCUCGCCGGAAGACCAAGGGUUCCUGUCCAACGUUAAUCGGGGCAGGGUGAGUCGACCCCUAAGGCGAGGCCGAAAGGCGUAGUCGAUGGGAAACAGGUUAAUAUUCCUGUACUUGGUGUUACUGCGAAGGGGGGACGGAGAAGGCUAUGUUAGCCGGGCGACGGUUGUCCCGGUUUAAGCAUGUAGGCUGGUUGUCCAGGCAAAUCCGGAUAAUCAAGGCUGAGGUGUGAUGACGAGGCACUACGGUGCUGAAGUAACAAAUGCCCUGCUUCCAGGAAAAGCCUCUAAGCAUCAGGUAACAUUAAAUCGUACCCCAAACCGACACAGGUGGUCAGGUAGAGAAUACCAAGGCGCUUGAGAGAACUCGGGUGAAGGAACUAGGCAAAAUGGUGCCGUAACUUCGGGAGAAGGCACGCUGGUGUGUAGGUGAAGCCCCUGCGGGUGGAGCUGAGACCAGUCGAAGAUACCAGCUGGCUGCAACUGUUUAUUAAAAACACAGCACUGUGCAAACACGAAAGUGGACGUAUACGGUGUGACGCCUGCCCGGUGCCGGAAGGUUAAUUGAUGGGGUUAUCCGUAAGGAGAAGCUCUUGAUCGAAGCCCCGGUAAACGGCGGCCGUAACUAUAACGGUCCUAAGGUAGCGAAAUUCCUUGUCGGGUAAGUUCCGACCUGCACGAAUGGCGUAAUGAUGGCCAGGCUGUCUCCACCCGAGACUCAGUGAAAUUGAACUCGCUGUGAAGAUGCAGUGUACCCGCGGCAAGACGGAAAGACCCCGUGAACCUUUACUAUAGCUUGACACUGAACAUUGAGCCUUGAUGUGUAGGAUAGGUGGGAGGCUUUGAAGCGUGGACGCCAGUCUGCGUGGAGCCAACCUUGAAAUACCACCCUUUAAUGUUUGAUGUUCUAACGUUGGCCCCUGACCGGGGUUGCGGACAGUGUCUGGUGGGUAGUUUGACUGGGGCGGUCUCCUCCCAAAGCGUAACGGAGGAGCACGAAGGUUAGCUAAUCCUGGUCGGACAUCAGGAGGUUAGUGCAAUGGCAUAAGCUAGCUUGACUGCGAGCGUGACGGCGCGAGCAGGUGCGAAAGCAGGUCAUAGUGAUCCGGUGGUUCUGAAUGGAAGGGCCAUCGCUCAACGGAUAAAAGGUACUCCGGGGAUAACAGGCUGAUACCGCCCAAGAGUUCAUAUCGACGGCGGUGUUUGGCACCUCGAUGUCGGCUCAUCACAUCCUGGGGCUGAAGUAGGUCCCAAGGGUAUGGCUGUUCGCCAUUUAAAGUGGUACGCGAGCUGGGUUUAGAACGUCGUGAGACAGUUCGGUCCCUAUCUGCCGUGGGCGCUGGAGAAUUGAGGGGGGCUGCUCCUAGUACGAGAGGACCGGAGUGGACGCAUCACUGGUGUUCGGGUUGUCAUGCCAAUGGCACUGCCCGGUAGCUAAAUGCGGAAGAGAUAAGUGCUGAAAGCAUCUAAGCACGAAACUUGCCCCGAGAUGAGUUCUCCCUGAGACUUUAAGUCUCCUGAAGGAACGUUGAAGACGACGACGUUGAUAGGCCGGGUGUGUAAGCGCAGCGAUGCGUUGAGCUAACCGGUACUAAUGAACCGUGAGGCUUAACCUUACAACGCCGAAG